rnacentral:lncRNA from 1 species
ACGCUCCAUCUCCGGAGUCAUCCUGGUAUUUUACUUUGCAUGCUUCUUUUCUAUGGCUCUGUCCGUUUAUGAUGUUUUCUUCUUGGAUUAAUGCUAAUCAUGUUAUGCACUUUUGCAUAUCUAGCUCCUAAUGGGAGCCACAUUGUAUUCCCCUUCCAGUGUCGUGAAUGCUCAUGGUUGUAGAUUGACAUUACUGAAGCAAGGACCUGUGUAAAUAAAUGUUACAGGUGACCACAUGUGGGUAGGAUUGUUGGUUAGGAAUUACAUAGCCUUGGUACCCCAGACCAAUAUAUUCAUUUAAUUGUUUUAAAUUUGGAUACACCAAGCAAAAUUAUAUAUGCUAGCUCAGUUGUGUAUAAUUUUUUAUAGUAGUCAGAUCCAACCUUUGUAUUUGCUUUGCUUGUUGUACUUUGGUUAGAAGCAAAUAAUGUGAUGUUGUUCUGUUGUGAUAUCCACACUGUCAAUAUCAAAGUGUACAGG